rnacentral:SRP_RNA from 1 species
GCCGGGCGUUGUGGUGGGCACCUGUAGUCCCAGCUACUUGGGAGGCUGAGGUAGGAGACUCGCUUGAGCCCAGGAGUUGGAGGUUGCUGUGAGCUGUGAUGCCAUGGCACUCUACCCAGGGGGAUAGCUUGAGGCUCCGUCUAAAACAAACAAACAAACAAACAAAAAACAACUUUCUUUCAAGUGGAAGGUGUAAUGGGAAAACAGAGGGAGGGCCAUCUAAUUCAGAGUAACGAACAGAGACUUCAAAUAGAAGUUUGAAACUUUUUUUUUUUUUUUGAGACAGAGCCUCAAGCUGUCCCCCUGGGUAGAGUGCCGUGGCAUUACAGCUCACAGCAACCUCCAACUCCUGGGCUCAAGCGAGUCUCCUGCCUCAG